AGUUUCAUAACACGGCUAAUAACAGCAGACUUCACAACAGACUGGCAUUUUCUUGGAAAUGGAAUUACUGUAGGUUGUACAAUGUCCGUCAUUUAGUUUGUGCUUUUUAUGGAUAAGUUACAUUGAUCAGUAGAUUGAUCCGAAUGGCAAUCGCAUAAGAAGGCCUUAACGAAUGACAUAACCAAGCUAAAAACAGACGAAAAGGAUAUGCAAUUACUUGUGGACUGGCUAGGUACUUGGUGAGUAAAGGGGUUUCAAGCAAAUAAAUAAUUCAGUCUGCCAUUUAUGAAAGAUCCCCUGAAGCAAGUGAAGUUCCAAUUUGCAGAAGAAUCCAUGCCAAAUGUUAAAGACUGUCCUGUAAAAUGUUUAGGACGAUGUUAAGCUAUGUUGUUGAGUGAGAGUAGAGGCAUUCAGAUGAUGGCACAAACUGAGGAUUGGUUACAAGCAAUAGAUAAGACAAAGCUUGUGGGCAAAUACAAGAUCUGGGGAUUGCUGCUUGGUGUCUAUCCCGAUCGUCUUUAUGUUUGUUUGAGUCUCGCUUCCUGUGUAGCAUUUAAAGUAUUUUCAGUGCAAUAAUGCGGGUAGGGAGAGGGAUGUGUAGUUGAUGAAGUUUUGUGCAAUUAUACUGAAGCAUUUUUGGGAUACCUGUCAUCAUCCCCUGCUCCACCUGGGUAGAGUCAUUAAGGAAGAUGAAAGACAUCCAAAUAUUUCUUGCUUCAGAGGACAUAGUCUUGACCUGUGAUGUGGGACAGUUAAAAUAAAAGAUUGCAGGCAGCAACCUUCAACAAAGAGAUCAGGUGUAUGUUUUGUCUUAUUUCAAGAGGUGUGUCAUGAUAUUGUGGCUAGAUCUUUGGAGGACCGACUUGAUUGACAUUCGAAUUAAGCUGCAAAUUAGAAGAAUGUCGGUUACGGAAUUCUAGAAGUUAGAGUAGAAAUACUUGUCAUUGAUUUUGUACAGGUACAAGACUAGAAAAAGAAAACUAGAAUAGUAUUUUCAUCUGGUAGUGAUAAAGAAGAUAAUUGCUAUAUUGUUAGGAUUAUGUAGAAUAUCUUACUUGAGAGAAGAGGUUUAGGAAGGUUAGUCUAUUCUGUGGUGGUUCUACUGUAGAAAAUAUAAAAAUAGUGUCAAAAAACACAUUGGUCACCAGUUGACCAUUGAUCACAGGAAUAUCUCACAAUAAUAAAAUACUAGCUGGACUUGUAAAAAACUCACGGAAAGUGUGCUGGUGCCGUGAGAAAUGUUUCUAAAAUGUGACAGUUAUAGAAUACAGAAAGAAUUGUAAAACUGGUGACCAGUAAUGAAAUCACAAGAAAAAAGUCACAGUAAUAAAGUCAAAAUCUUGGCUAGGUAAAAGAGUCACCAUUUAUGGGACCCAGACAAAACCUCCCUAGGACAAAACCCCCUCAGACAACCCUUUCAUUUCCCUUUGCAUUGCAAAUAUCAUUUGGAAAGGCAUGAACAUCACAAUAUUGCAUUUCUCAUUUGAAAUCCUUUCAUUCCUCUCUACAUAACAAAUAUCAACUGAUUCAGAGGACAUAGUGGUGGCCUGUGAAUUGGGACAGUUAAAAUUCAAGAUUACCCUCUAGUUAAACAUUUACUAAGGUGAGAUGUUUCUACCAGGAACGUAGAGCAGUGCUUGGGGCUAGAUUUGAACUGUUGACCUGUGACACAGGGGUCUACAUAAUAUCCUCUCGGUCAGUCGUUAGAAAUGAUGUAUCUAAAUUGAGAGAAGACAUCAUCCUAAUUCCCAAUUGAAAGAUUAGCUGUAUAAUAAUUCUAUUAAACAUAUUGAUAUUCCUGAAAUUCCAGAAAAUAUCCAGCGUGGUUAGCAUGGCUUAUAAAAUGGACAAUUCAGAAGACAAUAGAGUUAAUAUUAGUAUAUUAGAAAGUAUAAAAAUAUUGACCAAGCCAUAAUGGUCACCAGUUGACCAUUGUUGAUAGAAAUGCCUGUUAAACCCUAGAUUAUUUAUAGAAAUAAAGAAAUUUUACUAUAAAUUAUAAACUUUGGAAAUAUUUAUUUCAGAGAGGGUAAUGCUGACGGAGAUGCAUCUUCACAGAGUGGCUAAGAAAUUAGGAGGUAAAUGGAUGGAACUGGGAAGGCAAUUAGGAGUUAGACAAGUUGAACUAGAGAUGAUCAGGUAUGACUAUCCCUACAACACAGAAGAACAGAGCUUUCAGAUGCUCCUCAGAUGGUAUAGGUGUUGUGAUCCAAUGAAACGUACAUUGGAAACACUCAGAGAAGCACUUGAGAGAUGUGAGUGCUAUGAAGCCCUCAUGUGUCUAAUUGAAAUAGAGUGAAUUUCUGCAUAAAUGUUGUUGCUUAGUCCCAGGUCAGAAAUUUAUGAUCAAAUGCAUUCCGGCCAUGACCACCCUAACUUUAUUCUUAAUGUACAGGAGCCACACACACAUUGUCCAGCGUAUUCUUCUUUAAGGGGAUAAGUAUGAAUUGUGGUCGAUUUGGCUACUACUUCUAGCAGAUCUAUCUAUCACAAAGAAAUCCCUUUGCUGGUUUGUCUCCCCUGUUGUUAGAGAUUAACUUUUGAAAUAAAGAUAAACUUUCAACUGUU